rnacentral:rRNA from 1 species
GAUGAACGCUGACAGCAUGCUUAACACAUGCAAGUCCACUGUAGCGGACGGGUUAGUAACGCGUAAAGAACUUGCCUCACAGCUAGGGACAACAUUUGGAAACGAAUUCUAAUACCUGAUACUGUGAGAGCGCUUUGCGUCCCAUUCGCUAGUGGGAGAGGUAACGGCUCACCAAGGCGAUGAUGGGUAGCCGGCCUGAGAGGGUGAUCGGCCACAAGGGGACUGAGACACGGCCCUUAGUCAUACGGGAGGCAGCAGUGGGGAAUAUUGGACAAGGGACAAAAGUCUGAUCCAGCAAUUCUGUGUGCACGAUGAAGUUGUCGGAAUGUAAAGUGCUUUCAGUUGGGAAGCGGUACCAACAGAAGAAGUGACGGCUAAAUACGUGCCAGCAGCCGCGGUAAUAC